rnacentral:rRNA from 1 species
CAUAUCAAUAAGCGGAGGAAAAGAAACUAACAAGGAUUCCCCUAGUAACUGCGAGUGAAGCGGGAAGAGCUCAAAUUUAAAAUCUGGCGAUCUUUCGACCGUCCGAGUUGUAACCUGAAGGAGCGUUUUCCGCGUCGGACCGUGUACAAGUCUCCUGGAACGGAGCGUCAUAGAGGGUGAGAAUCCCGUCCAUGACACGGACGCCCGGUGCUUUGUGAUACGCUCCCGAAGAGUCGCGUUGUUUGGGAAUGCAGCGCAAAAUGGGUGGUAAAUUCCAUCUAAAGCUAAAUAUUGACGAGAGACCGAUAGCGAACAAGUACCGUGAGGGAAAGAUGAAAAGCACUUUGGAAAGAGAGUUAAACAGUACGUGAAAUUGUUGAAAGGGAAACGCUUGAAGUCAGUCGCGUCUUGUGGAACUCAGCCUUGCUUCGGCCUGGUGUACCUUUCACUCGACGGGUCAACAUCAAUUUCGGCCGGUGGACAAGGGCGAGGGGAAUGUAGCGCCGUUUCGACGACGUGUUAUAGCCCCUCGUCGCAUGCACCGGCUGGGAUUGAGGACCGCAGCGCGCCGUUGUGGCCGGGGGUUCGCGCCCCACGUACCGCG